GGAAGGAUAAACUAAAUUUAAGUUGUUUGGCUCAUGACCAGAACAUGGAGAUUCCCUCCUUUCG
rnacentral:tRNA from 1 species